GAUGAACGCUGGCGGCGUGCUUAACACAUGCAAGUCGAGCGAUGAAGUUUCCUUCGGGAAACGGAUUAGCGGCGGACGGGUGAGUAACACGUGGGUAACCUGCCUCAUAGAGUGGAAUAGCCUUCCGAAAGGAAGAUUAAUACCGCAUAAUGUUGAAAGAUGGCAUCAUCAUUCAACCAAAGGAGCAAUCCGCUAUGAGAUGGACCCGCGGCGCAUUAGCUAGUUGGUGGGGUAACGGCCUACCAAGGCGACGAUGCGUAGCCGACCUGAGAGGGUGAUCGGCCACAUUGGGACUGAGACACGGCCCAGACUCCUACGGGAGGCAGCAGUGGGGAAUAUUGCACAAUGGGGGAAACCCUGAUGCAGCAACGCCGCGUGAGUGAUGAAGGUUUUCGGAUCGUAAAGCUCUGUCUUUGGGGAAGAUAAUGACGGUACCCAAGGAGGAAGCCACGGCUAACUACGUGCCAGCAGCCGCGGUAAUACGUAGGUGGCGAGCGUUAUCCGGAUUUACUGGGCGUAAAGGGAGCGUAGGCGGAUGAUUAAGUGGGAUGUGAAAUACCCGGGCUCAACUUGGGUGCUGCAUUCCAAACUGGUUAUCUAGAGUGCAGGAGAGGAGAGUGGAAUUCCUAGUGUAGCGGUGAAAUGCGUAGAGAUUAGGAAGAACACCAGUGGCGAAGGCGACUCUCUGGACUGUAACUGACGCUGAGGCUCGAAAGCGUGGGGAGCAAACAGG
rnacentral:rRNA from 1 species